GAGGUGGUAUCUCAUUGUGGUUUUGAUUUGUAUUUCCCUGAUGAUGAGUAAUGUUGAGAAUCUUUUCAUGUGUCUGUUGGCCAUCUGGAUGUCCAUUCAUGUCUUCUGCCCAUUUCUUAACUGGGUUUUUUUUUUUUUUUUUUUGGUGUUGAGUUUGGUAAGUUCUUUAUAAAUUUUGGAUACUAAUCCUUUGCCAGAUAUAUCAUUUUCAAAUAUCUUCUCCCAUUCUCCAUGCUGUCUUUUAGUUUUGUUGAUUGUUUCCUUCUGUGUAGGUUAAGUCUUGAAGGAUUAAUAGGAUGAGAGAAGAGAGACUGUGGUGAUGAAUUCUAAGCAUGGAGACCAGCAAAAGUCAUCUUGGGACAUGAGAGAAUAUGAUGCAUCUGGACUAUGGUAUUCACCAAGUGGCCAGGUACCAUGUGGGUGUGAUUAGCCUGGAAGAGUCCUGGCGAGAACCACGUCUCUCCUGGAAGCUGUGUAUCAACUCCUCCCUGUAUGUUCUCUUGUCUGUAGCUGAGAGCUUCACUGUGCAGGACAUCCUGGUAGACUUCCAGAGCAGCCUUUGCAAUAAAACAGCCAUUAGAAUGUUGGCAAAUUUGAAUAUAGCUUGGGACACAAGUAGUCUGACAUGUCCAGGAAUGAAAAUAGCCAAGUACAAUUUAUCCUCAGCUUAAAUGCAACUGUGAGAUGGGAAAAGCAAGGCAUUCUUUGGCUAAUGAACCUGACAGCUUCAUUUCUUACCAUUCCAUCCAUCUACUCUAGUGAACUAUUUAUUUGUGGCUCCUUGGACUUGUGGGCUUCUCUUUGACCUCUAGGCUCUCUCCCAGGUUGUUAAGUUUACUUGCAUCAUCCUUUUAAGUACAGCACCUGUGCCCACCCCCACUAAGCUGCCUUAUGUAGACUUGCCCUCAGACCUCAUCUUCACCAUCACCUCCUCCUAUAAACCUGCCCAAACCCUUUUUUCUGAGUUUGUACAGCCCGUGGUAACUGCCUCACUUUAGCAUUUACUACACGGUAUUGAAAUUAUUUACUUAGUUAUGUGCCUUUGGUCACUAGAUUGUGAGCUUGCUGGGGGCAGGGCUCUGCCUGGCUCAGCACAGAGCAGGUACUUAA
rnacentral:lncRNA from 1 species